rnacentral:rRNA from 1 species
UGCUUUCCUGAAUCUAGUGGCGAACGGGUGAGUAACACGUAGGUAACCUGCCCAUGUGCCCGGGAUAACUUCUGGAAACGGAUGCUAAAACCGGAUAGGUAGCAGACAAGCAUUUGACUGCUAUUAAAGUGGCUUUUGCCAUGAACAUGGAUGGACCUGCGGUGCAUUAGCUGGUUGGUGAGGUAACGGCCCACCAAGGCGACGAUGCAUAGCCGGCCUGAGAGGGCGGACGGCCACAUUGGGACUGAGACACGGCCCAAACUCCUACGGGAGGCAGCAGUAGGGAAUUUUCGUCAAUGGGGGGAACCCUGAACGAGCAAUGCCGCGUGAGUGAGGAAGGUCUUCGGAUCGUAAAGCUCUGUUGUAAGAGAAAAACGACAUUCAUAGGGAAUGAUGAGUGAGUGAUGGUAUCUUACCAGAAAGUCACGGCUAACUACGUGCCAGCAGCCGCGGUAAUACGUAGGUGGCGAGCGUUAUCCGGAAUGAUUGGGCGUAAAGGGUGCGUAGGUGGCAGAUCAAGUCUGGAGUAAAAGGUAUGGGCUCAACCCGUACUGGCUCUGGAAACUGAUCAGCUAGAGAACAGAAGAGGACGGCGGAACUCCAUGUGUAGCGGUAAAAUGCGUAGAUAUAUGGAAGAACACCGGUGGCGAAGGCGGCCGUCUGGUCUGGAUUCUGACACUGAAGCACGAAAGCGUGGGGAGCAAAUAGGAUUAGAUACCCUAGUAGUCCACGCCGUAAACGAUGAGAACUAGGUGUUGGGGGAAUAACUCAGUGCCGCAGUUAACGCAAUAAGUUCUCCGCCUGGGGAGUAUGCACGCAAGUGUGAAACUCAAAUGAAUUGACGG